rnacentral:misc_RNA from 1 species
AACAUCGCGCACCUGCGGGAACCUGCGGAGGGAUCAUUACAGAGUUGCAAAACCCCCUAAACCAUUGUGAACGUUACCUAAACCGUUGCUUCGGCGGGCGGCCCGGGUCCUUCCCGGCGCCCCUCGGCCCUCGCGGGCGCCCGCCGGAGGUAAACCAAACUAUUGCAUUGUAUGGCCUCUCUGAGUCUUCUGUACUGAAUAAGUCAAAACUUUCAGCAACGGAUCUCAGAUCGGAAGAGC